AGAGUUUGAUUAUGGCUCAGGAUGAACGCUGGCGGCGUGCUUAACACAUGCAAGUCGAACGGGGUUAGCGAGAGCUUGCUUUGCUAAACUAGUGGCGGACGGGUGAGUAACGCGUGAGUAACCUGCCUUAGACUGGGGGAUAACACUUAGAAAUAGGUGCUAAUACCGCAUAAGCGCACAGUGCCGCAUGGCACAGUGUGAAAAACUCCGGUGGUCUAAGAUGGACUCGCGUCUGAUUAGCUAGUUGGUGAGGUAACGGCCCACCAAGGCGACGAUCAGUAGCCGGCCUGAGAGGGUGAACGGCCACAUUGGGACUGAGACACGGCCCAAACUCCUACGGGAGGCAGCAGUGGGGGAUAUUGCACAAUGGGCGAAAGCCUGAUGCAGCGACGCCGCGUGAGUGAAGAAGUAUUUCGGUAUGUAAAGCUCUAUCAGCAGGGAAGAAAAUGACGGUACCUGACUAAGAAGCCCCGGCUAACUACGUGCCAGCCGCGGC
rnacentral:rRNA from 1 species